GAUGAACGCUGGCGGCGUGCCUAAUACAUGCAAGUCGAGCGAACGGACGAGAAGCUUGCUUCUCUGAUGUUAGCGGCGGACGGGUGAGUAACACGUGGAUAACCUACCUAUAAGACUGGGAUAACUUCGGGAAACCGGAGCUAAUACCGGAUAAUAUUUUGAACCGCAUGGUUCAAAAGUGAAAGACGGUCUUGCUGUCACUUAUAGAUGGAUCCGCGCUGCAUUAGCUAGUUGGUAAGGUAACGGCUUACCAAGGCAACGAUGCAUAGCCGACCUGAGAGGGUGAUCGGCCACACUGGAACUGAGACACGGUCCAGACUCCUACGGGAGGCAGCAGUAGGGAAUCUUCCGCAAUGGGCGAAAGCCUGACGGAGCAACGCCGCGUGGGUGAUGAAGGUCUUCGGAUCGUAAAACUCUGUUAUUAGGGAAGAACAUAUGUGUAAGUAACUGUGCACAUCUUGACGGAACCUAAUCAGAAAGCCACGGCUAACUACGUG
rnacentral:rRNA from 1 species